AUUGAACGCUGGCGGCAGGCUUAACACAUGCAAGUCGAGCGGGGGAAGGUAGCUUGCUACCGGACCUAGCGGCGGACGGGUGAGUAAUGCUUAGGAAUCUGCCUAUUAGUGGGGGACAACAUCUCGAAAGGGAUGCUAAUACCGCAUACGUCCUACGGGAGAAAGCAGGGGAUCUUCGGACCUUGCGCUAAUAGAUGAGCCUAAGUCGGAUUAGCUAGGUGGUGGGGUAAAGGCCUACCAAGGCGGCGAUCUGUAGCGGGUCUGAGAGGAUGAUCCGCCACACUGGGACUGAGACACGGCCCAGACUCCUACGGGAGGCAGCAGUGGGGAAUAUUGGACAAUGGGGGGAACCCUGAUCCAGCCAUGCCGCGUGUGUGAAGAAGGCCUUAUGGUUGUAAAGCACUUUAAGCGAGGAGGAGGCUACUUUAGUUAAUACCUAGAGAUAGUGGACGUUACUCGCAGAAUAAGCACCGGCUAACUCUGUGCCAGCAGCCGCCGUAA
rnacentral:rRNA from 1 species